rnacentral:rRNA from 1 species
GUGGGGAAUAUUGGACAAUGGGCGAAAGCCUGAUCCAGCCAUGCCGCGUGUGUGAAGAAGGUCUUCGGAUUGUAAAGCACUUUAAGUUGGGAGGAAGGGCAGUAAGUUAAUACCUUGCUGUUUUGACGUUACCGACAGAAUAAGCACCGGCUAACUUCGUGCCAGCAGCCGCGGUAAUACGAAGGGUGCAAGCGUUAAUCGGAAUUACUGGGCGUAAAGCGCGCGUAGGUGGUUUUGUAAGUUGGAGGUGAAAUCCCCGGGCUCAAACUGGGAACUGCCUCCAAAACUGCAUGACUAGAGUACGGUAGAGGGUAGUGGAAUUUCCUGUGUAGCGGUGAAAUGCGUAGAUAUAGGAAGGAACACCAGUGGCGAAGGCGACUACCUGGACUGAUACUGACACUGAGGUGCGAAAGCGUGGGGAGCAAACAGGAUUAGAAACCCGGGUAGUCC